AGGACAGCAGAUGGCGCUAGUGCGCUUCACAAAAUGGAAAUCAUCCUACGCAGAGCUGCUGUUGAGAAUAAGGCUAUUAUACGGAGGAUUCGGAGGGCAUUCAAUCAGGUAGCGCUCAGGUUGAGCUGUGAGCGAUGCUUUGAUGCUGGCAAGAGCUGGAAAGCGAUGUUUUCUUAUAGCACCAGAUGAAUUUGAUCCUGCUUAUGCAAGCAGCCUUGAAUGCACGCGGAGUGGGAGGCGAGGCGCUCUGAGGAGACUUCCGGCGAGAGCCGCGCGCAAUGCAGAGCUGUUUGUUUACGUUUAGCAUCUGAGAGGAUACUGAUGUACCAUAAGUACUGCUAAAAUCCCUCAGAAUCAUCUAGUGUGUCUCUGCGUUGUUGAGGAAGUAGCAAACUGGUUUGUGGACAUUGUGUGGACGAGCCAGUUCAGUUCUUUCUUUCUCUUUCUUUUUUUCUUUCUUUCUUGUCAAGAGUACUAAAGGCUCUAUAGUAGGUCCUACUACAAGAUUUUUAAAUACAACUAAAUUACAAGAUCUUCUUUUCAGGCGAGGAACUGGGGAUUUGCUUCAUACGAAAGAGACUUUUUGAAAAGAUGAUAAUAGAAAGCACCCAUCCUGGGACUGCGGGUGUUGAAGAGGAGUGCAGACGGGUGUUAUCAGUACAGAUGAUGAAUGGCCACACUCUGUCGGACUGACAUAUGCGCGUUGUGGCAGAUGGGACCCGGGUCAGUCGGCGGACGACGUGGUUGGACAGAGAGCAUGUCCUUCCGCUCCCAGCUAUAAACGAUACGCAAACAUAUUUGGUGUCAUUGUGUACCCUGUGGUAUUAGCAAAUGCCACUGUAUGCUAACAUUAAUAGAGCCCAUACACUUGUACGCUGGUAGUUUUUCUAAUACCUAAACAUCUUUUAAUACAUCCAAACAUUUUUUACAUUUUCAACUUUCUUUAGGGUGUAAUGUUGCUUUUUAAGCAUAAAAAAGGUCUGCAAAGUUACAAAGCACAAAGUCACUCCAAAGGGAGUUAUUGUGAUGUACUGUAUAUAUGCGUGUAUGUAUGUGUGUAUAUAUAUAUAUAUAUAUAUAUAUAUAUAAAUAUAUAUGCUAUAUUGCCAAAAGUUUUGGGACACCUGCCUACAUGCACAUUAGGGCUGCACGAUUUGGAGAAAAAAUCUAAUUGCGAUUUUUCUGGUUAAAAUUGCGAUUUGCAAUUUUAUAAAACAAAUGAAGAAAAAAAAAAAAAAGAUAAACAAUACCAGGCUUGUUUUCCUUGUUUGCAGGGCUGCAGAAUUUGGCCCAAAAUUUUGUGCUAAUAUAUUAUUUUGACUAAUUAUUUUUAUUAUUAUUAUCAUUAUUCCUAAAUAAAAAUAUUAUACCAAAUAAGAAAUAUUACUGUUGUAACAAUUUGCAUUAUUAAAGUAUUAAGCAUUAGUAUUUAAUUAUAAAUAUAACCAUAAUAAUUAGAAAAUAACAUUUAAAACUUGUAUGCCAAAAUGUGGGGUUACCUGUUAACAUGCAAGCAGUAUGUCUAUAAAUCAUUAGAAAGGUCUAAGGAUUUAUUAUCAAAUAUUAUAUUAUUAUGAUAAAAAUCUGUCUCAAUAAUUAUUUUUGUCAGGAGGUAUGCAAAAUCAAAAAUGGAGUCCAUUUAUUUAAUAUGAACUACGUGCCACUUAUGCAUCCACUGUGGAAAAAAAACCCUGUAUACUUAUGUACGCUGGAGAAAAACAUGAUAAAUGAUAAAAUCAAGCACCUAUUGAGUUCUUAAGAGAGAGAAAUUAUUUUUCCUAUUUUUACCCUGAAUAGGAUUGAGUGAGCUUUACUUGGUGCUAAACAUGUCUGUUUCAUACUGGACGCCGGAGGGCGCCCUUGAGCAGAUACUCCAUACACUCCAAAUAUACGCAAUAUAACAAACGCUGUUCCAGGAAAUCCCCAAUGGGCAUCAUGCUAUGGCUGUGACUGAAUAAAAAGAAGGUAGAAACGCUUUGAUUGAUUAAACAUGAAUAAAAUAAACAGACGACUACAACAAUACAUGG